CCAGCUUCCAGCGGAUGUCCUGGUUCCUAAAAGUGUUCAGAGUACUGCCACUACUUCCUGCAGAUGUGCAAACCAGCAGGUGGAGAGGGAAAGAGCAGGAAGGAAGUUGAGUAAAGGUGGGAGGGUAGUAGGAAGUACCCCCUCUCAGGCUCCUCCUUUCCUAGGCAGCGACUGUCUGUUCAAAACCACAGCAAGGCUGCCCAAAGCGAUGUCUUCAACAGGAGGGAGGUGUUGGUCCAGAAACAGUAAAGCUAAUCUUUGUUGAGGGCUUGUUAAUGAGACAACAUGCUGAGCAUCAUCUUGUAUCAUCUUCACCUUAACCACAGAAGACACUAACAUCACUGUCUCCUUUCUGCAGGUGAGGAGCUCAAAGCAUAAAGAGAGGAAGUCACUUGUUUCAGCUCUCAGGGUCCAGGAGCCUGUCUGACUCCAGAGGGGACUCAUGCCUGGGCUUCCUGUCUCCAGGGAAUCUGGACAGAGCGGUGGAAAUUUCAGGUGGCACUUGGGCCAGGGAGGAUCUCCACGCCUUUCCUCACACCGAGCUGUCUGGCCCUUGGGGAGUUAACUUCACAGAUAGGGCCUUGCUCCCAGAAGACAGUUGAAUGUGCCUAUAGAUCACCUCUCAGGGACAGCCAUUUUUCCCAAGACAGGAAUAUCAUCUUCAGCACCUGUCACCAUAUGGGACAUAGAGGAAGCUCUCCCUCCUGUUUCCAAGAAAAGAAAAAUUAUUGAACUCAGGCUGAGUGUCAACAGGUUGGCAGGUCUUCAAUAAAAAUAUUGGAAGAAAAAUCAACGCAAAAGAAAUAUGGAAAUCAUAAAAUAUUUUUCUAUAGCAUGGAGUCCUACUGCACCAUAAGGUGGCUUUUGGUUUCCAAGGACUCACGCCCUACUGCAUGGAAGAGCUCUGAUAUGGAAGGAGUUGGGUCCCUGCAUCACUGCAGGAGGAAAUCUGCCCAUCUAUCAGAAACCCUUCAUUGGAUUGUUAAAUGAGUAUAAAUUAACUCCUAUUGUAUUAAGCCAUUGAUGUUUUAUAAUUCACUUAAAGCUACUAAUAAUUUAACAUUCUUCUCAUUCAACAGGGAAUAUUUCAGAAAAUUUUUAGAAUUCCCUGUGUCUCUACCUUAGACAGAGCGAACAUCCAUUUCUGCUGAACUC
rnacentral:lncRNA from 12 species